rnacentral:rRNA from 1 species
UACGGAGGGUGCAAACGUUGCUCGGAAUCAUUGGGCGUAAAGCGCACGUAGGCGGCUCGUUAAGUCGGAUGUGAAAGCCCUGGGCUCAACCCAGGAAGUGCAUACGAAACUGGCGAGCUUGAAUAUGGAAGAGGGUCGCGGAAUUCCCGGUGUAGAGGUGAAAUUCGUAGAUAUCGGGAGGAACACCAGUGGCGAAGGCGGCGACCUGGGCCAAUAUUGACGCUGAGGUGCGAAAGCGUGGGGAGCGAACAGG